rnacentral:rRNA from 1 species
CAUGCAAGUCGAGCGAACAGACGAGGAGCUUGCUCCUUUGACGUUAGCGGCGGACGGGUGAGUAACACGUGGGUAACCUACCUAUAAGACUGGGAUAACUUCGGGAAACCGGAGCUAAUACCGGAUAAUAUUUCGAACCGCAUGGUUCGAUAGUGAAAGAUGGCUNUGCUAUCACUUAUAGAUGGACCUGCGCCGUAUUAGCUAGUUGGUAAGGUAACGGCUUACCAAGGCAACGAUACGUAGCCGACCUGAGAGGGUGAUCGGCCACACUGGAACUGAGACACGGUCCAGACUCCUACGGGAGGCAGCAGUAGGGAAUCUUCCGCAAUGGGCGAAAGCCUGACGGAGCAACGCCGCGUGAGUGAUGAAGGUCUUCGGAUCGUAAAACUCUGUUAUUAGGGAAGAACAAACGUGUAAGUAACUGUGCACGUCUUGACGGUACCUAAUCAGAAAGCCACGGCUAA